AUUGAACGCUAGCGGGAUGCUUUACACAUGCAAGUCGAACGAGUGGCGGACGGGUGAGUAAUGUCUCGGAAACUGCCCAGUAGCGGGGGAUAACUACUCGAAAGAGUGGCUAAUACCGCAUAACAUCGGAGCGGCCGAGAUCGGAUUAGCUGGUGGGUGGGGUAACGGCUCACCAAGGCAACGAUCCGUAGCUGGUUUGAGAGGACGACCAGCCACACGGGGACUGAGACACGGUCCAGACUCCUACGGGAGGCAGCAGUGGGGAAUUUUGGACAAUGGGGGAAACCCUGAUCCAGCCAUCCCGCGUGUAUGAGAAGGCCUUCGGGUUGUAAAGUACUUUCGGCAGGGAAGCGGUACCUGCAGAAUAAGCACCGGCUAACUACGUGCCAGCAGCCGCGGUAAUUC
rnacentral:rRNA from 1 species